CAGCAGCCACGGUAAUACGUAGGGUGCAAGCGUUAAUCGGAAUUACUGGGCGUAAAGCGUGCGCAGGCGGUUAUAUAAGACAGAUGUGAAAUCCCCGGGCUCAACCUGGGAACUGCAUUUGUGACUGUAUAGCUAGAGUACGGCAGAGGGGGAUGGAAUUCCGCGUGUAGCAGUGAAAUGCGUAGAUAUGCGGAGGAACACCGAUGGCGAAGGCAAUCCCCUGGGCCUGUACUGACGCUCAUGCACGAAAGCGUGGGGAGCAAACAGGAUUAGAUACCCGAGUCCCUGUCUCUUAUACACA
rnacentral:rRNA from 1 species